rnacentral:rRNA from 1 species
UGCCUAAUACAUGCAAGUCGAACGAACUCUGGUAUUGAUUGGUGCUUGCAUCAUGAUUUACAUUUGAGUGAGUGGCGAACUGGUGAGUAACACGUGGGAAACCUGCCCAGAAGCGGGGGAUAACACCUGGAAACAGAUGCUAAUACCGCAUAACAACUUGGACCGCAUGGUCCGAGCUUGAAAGAUGGCUUCGGCUAUCACUUUUGGAUGGUCCCGCGGCGUAUUAGCUAGAUGGUGGGGUAACGGCUCACCAUGGCAAUGAUACGUAGCCGACCUGAGAGGGUAAUCGGCCACAUUGGGACUGAGACACGGCCCAAACUCCUACGGGAGGCAGCAGUAGGGAAUCUUCCACAAUGGACGAAAGUCUGAUGGAGCAACGCCGCGUGAGUGAAGAAGGGUUUCGGCUCGUAAAACUCUGUUGUUAAAGAAGAACAUAUCUGAGAGUAACUGUUCAGGUAUUGACGGUAUUUAACCAGAAAGCCACGGCUAACUACGUGCCAGCAGCCGCGGUAAUACGUAGGUGGCAAGCGUUGUCCGGAUUUAUUGGGCGUAAAGCGAGCGCAGGCGGUUUUUUAAGUCUGAUGUGAAAGCCUUCGGCUCAACCGAAGAAGUGCAUCGGAAACUGGGAAACUUGAGUGCAGAAGAGGACAGUGGAACUCCAUGUGUAGCGGUGAAAUGCGUAGAUAUAUGGAAGAACACCAGUGGCGAAGGCGGCUGUCUGGUCUGUAACUGACGCUGAGGCUCGAAAGUAUGGGUAGCAAACAGGAUUAGAUACCCUGGUAGUCCAUACCGUAAACGAUGAAUGCUAAGUGUUGGAGGGUUUCCGCCCUUCAGUGCUGCAGCUAACGCAUUAAGCAUUCCGCCUGGGGAGUACGGCCGCAAGGCUGAAACUCAAAGGAAUUGACGGGGGCCCGCACAAGCGGUGGAGCAUGUGGUUUAAUUCGAAGCUACGCGAAGAACCUUACCAGGUCUUGACAUACUAUGCAAAUCUAAGAGAUUAGACGUUCCCUUCGGGGACAUGGAUACAGGUGGUGCAUGGUUGUCGUCAGCUCGUGUCGUGAGAUGUUGGGUUAAGUCCCGCAACGAGCGCAACCCUUAUUAUCAGUUGCCAGCAUUAAGUUGGGCACUCUGGUGAGACUGCCGGUGACAAACCGGAGGAAGGUGGGGAUGACGUCAAAUCAUCAUGCCCCUUAUGACCUGGGCUACACACGUGCUACAAUGGAUGGUACAACGAGUUGCGAACUCGCGAGAGUAAGCUAAUCUCUUAAAGCCAUUCUCAGUUCGGAUUGUAGGCUGCAACUCGCCUACAUGAAGUCGGAAUCGCUAGUAAUCGCGGAUCAGCAUGCCGCGGUGAAUACGUUCCCGGGCCUUGUACACACCGCCCGUCACACCAUGAGAGUUUGUAACACCCAAAGUCGGUGGGGUAACCUUUUAGGAACCAGCCGCCUAAGGUGGGACAGAUGAUUAGGGUGAAGUCGUAACAAGG